GAAGCUGCGCGCGCUACCCGGGUAACGGGUCCCGGCUGUGGAAGCUCCCGCGGCGCCGCGAUGGACCUCGAGGAGGCGGAAGAGUUUAAAGAACGCUGUGCUCAGUGUGCUGCUGUCUCAUGGGGUCUUACUGAUGAAGGCAAAUAUUAUUGCACUUCUUGCCACAAUGUUACAGAGAGAUAUCAGGAAGUUACAAACACUGAUCUUAUUCCUAAUACCCAAAUAAAAGCCCUCAACCGGGGGCUUAAAAAAAAAAACAAUACUGAAAAAGGCUGGGAUUGGUAUGUGUGUGAAGGUUUCCAGUACAUUCUUUAUCAACAAGCAGAAGCCUUAAAGAACCUUGGAGUAGGCCCAGAGUUAAAGAACAAUGUUUUACAUAAUUUUUGGAAGCGCUAUCUUCAGAAGAGCAAGCAGGCAUAUUGUAAGAACCCAGUUUAUACCACUGGAAGGAAACCUACGGUAUUAGAAGAUAAUCUAAGUCAUUCAGACUGGGCUAGUGAGCCUGAGCUGCUAAGUGAUGUCAGCUGUCCUCCUUUUCUUGAAAGUGGAGCGGAGUCUCAGUCUGACAUCCACACUCGAAAACCUUUCCCCGUCAGCAAAGCAUCACAAUCAGGGACAUAAAGUUCAAGUGGAUCCAGAAAGAAGGAGGCUACUUCAAAAAGAUCUAUAUGUGUGGGCUCAGCGUCUUCAAAGAAAAGUUGUAGCAGAAAAAUGU
rnacentral:sRNA from 1 species